rnacentral:misc_RNA from 1 species
UUUCCGUAGGUGAACCUGCGGAAGGAUCAUUCAUAAUAAAGUGUUUUAUGGCACUUUUUAAAAAUCCAUAUCCACCUUGUGUGCAAUGUUAGAUCUCGUCAAUCUUGGCGAGAUUUUUAUACAUCAACUCAUUUUUUAACUAAUUUGUCUGAAAAAUAUUAUGAAUACUUAAUUCAAAAUACAACUUUCAACAACGGAUCUCUUGGCUCUCGCAUCGAUGAAGAACACAGC